CAGGAGCAUAACAUAAGCACAGGCAGUUGUGAGCUGUCCCUAGUGGUUGCUGAUAACUCUUAUCUGCUGAGCCGUUUCUCCAGUCUCUCCACUGAGCCUGGAGCUCACUGAUUAGGUGCUAACAUUCCAUCCCUGGUUUGUAUGGUGCUGGGGGAUUGAACCUAGGUCCUUGGUCAUGCUGGGCCUGCAAGGUGCCCACCAUGGAGCACGGCUCACCUCUCUUGGAUGAAGCCCAGAGAGCCCUCGGUGCACAGACCGUAGGAAAUCACCCAGCUGAAGAGCUCAUUUUCUUUCAGGAUCAGUGUUGGAAGCUGCUGCGAUUCAAACGAGCAAAUGUUAGCUUCGAGAGGAAAUUGAUAAUUAUGCGAGGUCUGUUAAAUGAUCGUUGGCCAAGCACAUUUCAUUCCUUCAAAUGAGCUCGUGUCUACAGUUGUGGCAAUCGUUCACAGGCCAGGAAAGAAAACCAGCUCAGAUGAGGAUGGGCAUCACUUCCAAUAGGUCGUCGAGGUUCGAAGCACCUGGAAAGAAGUCAUCCGUUGGAGGCUGCAAACCAGAUUUAGUUGUAAUGUGAAUGAUUAGCCUAUAUUAACUCAUAAAUUAGAUACAUUAUCCUAAACUGCACUGAAUAAAUAUUGAGUAUGUAAGA
rnacentral:lncRNA from 1 species